CACGUAACUUGCCCCAACUGAUAGAGAAGCCCAUUACUUGGCUUUUUAGGGUUUCAAUUAAUAGCCGUCAUUUCUCCUCUCCUCCUCUCUCUCUCCUUUCUCUCUCUCUCUCUCUCUCUCCCUCUCCUCUCAUCUCCUCCCUGCCAUUCUCCUCUCCUCCUCUUUCUCUCCUCCCCGUCCUUCUCUCCUCUCCUCCAUCAAUUUUAGAGAAAAAAACUAUUGCGCUUUCGUUGUCGUUGUCAAUGUCGAAUUUGAAUUGCGAGUUCUCUUCAAUUUUACAGCCUCCAUUUUUGAUCUACUGCGCUUUUGUUGUCGUUGUCAAUGUUGCCGUUGUUGACUACUCUUCCGGCGAAGUCCGAUGACUUGCCUUCUGAAUGGGAUAGAGUUUACUCCGAUUGAUCCUAGUGUUGUUCUACAUGAUAUCGCUUUUGUUCCCGAUGACUCUAAUCACGGAGGAAAUUCCUAUAGAGGAGGUGUUUGAGAGUUUGAGAUGCUCAAGAGAAGGUCUAACUUCAGAUGAUGCAACCAACCGUCUUCAAAUUUUUGGACAUAACAAGCUAGAAGAAAAAAAAGGAGAGCAAACUCUUGAAGUUUCUUGGCUUUAUGUGGAAUCCAUGGUCAUGGGUUAUGGAAGUAGCUACUUUAAUGGCUAUUGUAUUGGAAAAUGGUGAUAAUAAGCCUCCAGAUUGGCAGGAUUUUGUGGGUAUCAUGGUGCUUCUGGUGAUCAACUCUACUAUUAGUUUCAUAGAAGAAAACAAUGUUGGUAAUGCUGCAGCAGUGCUUAUGGCUAACCUUGCUCCUAAAACCAAAGUUCUUCAGAGAUGGAUGAUGGGGUGAAAUGGAGGCAUCAAUUCUAGACCUAUGUGACAUAAUUAGCAUCAAGUUAGGAGACAUAGUCCCUGCUGAUGCUCGUCUUCUUGAGGGUGAUCCUUUGAAGAUUUAUCAAUCUGCUCUCAUUGGAGAAUCUCUUCCUGUCACUAGGAAUCCUGGAGACGAGGUCUUCUGUAGUUCAACCUGUAAACAAGAUGAUGGGACUUAAGCUAUGAAGAAAGUAUUGAUUCAAAACAAUGAGCAGCUGGACUUGGUGAGGGAGGAGAUCCGAGUUUCCUCCCUAUUUACAUAUCCUAAUCUGCUUCCCCUUCUUGAUCAUGCUAUCAUCAAAGUCAAGGCCACUCAAGAGCAAUCUUGGAAUCAUGAAGCGUACCUGUUAUUCCCAGUUCAUUUGGAUGGAACUUUGCUGGACAACUCAACCGCUAUGAAAGCUAAUAAGGCCCUUCUGGUGGAUUUAAGUUUGGGUGAAGGUAGCUUAAGUGUACAAUGUCAAAUAAGUAAAACAUAACGCCUUUAGAGGAAACAAGUGUAAUUUUUUUUUUAAAAUCAGGAAACAAGUGUACUUUAGAUUUGGUUUAACUUGGCUGUUCUUUUAAAGUUUUAGUUAUUAAUAUUAAUUGUAUAUUUUUUUUUUGGAAGAAAUAUAAAUUGUAUACUAUAUUUGUAUAAAAAUAUAUACAUCUCAAAUUAAAUGAUAAAAUGGUGUGCA